AAUGGCCAUAGUAUUCUAACUAUGUUAAGGUAGCAAAAUAAUUUGAAAUUUUAUUUGUUUCUUGUAUGAAAGUAUAAAUGA
rnacentral:rRNA from 1 species